rnacentral:sRNA from 1 species
AAAAACCCUUUUCAUUGUGGCUAAAUUUACAAAUUGAUAUAAACACAGGGGCCACUAUGAGGGUUGUUUUC